GGGGAUUUAGCUCAGUGGCAUAAGCACCUGCCUUGCAAGCAGGGGGUUGUGAAUUCAAUCCCCG
rnacentral:tRNA from 1 species